rnacentral:misc_RNA from 1 species
UCCGGCUUACCACCGGCAGUCCCAUUAGAGUGCCCAACUUAAUGAUGGCAACUAAUGGCGAGGGUUGCGCUCGUUGCGGGACUUAACCCAACAUCUCACGACACGAGCUGACGACAGCCAUGCAGCACCUGUGUGUAGGUCCCGUAAGGGAAGGAAUCCAUCUCUGGAAACCGUCCUACCAUGUCAAACGCUGGUAAGGUUCUGCGCGUUGCCUCGAAUUAAACCACAUGCUCCACCGCUUGUGCAGGCCCCCGUCAAUUUCUUUGAGUUUUAACCUUGCGGCCGUACUCCCCAGGCGGAUGACUUAACGCGUUAGCGCCGGCACUCAGGGGGUCGCUCCCCCAAGCACCUAGUGCCCAUCGUUUACGGCGUGGACUAC